rnacentral:rRNA from 1 species
CAGCGUCACGAGUGGCAACCAUAUUUAUUGGGCCUAAAGCGUCCGUAGCCUGUUUGAUAAGUCUUUUGUGAAAUCGUUGAGCUCAACUUAACGUCGUGCAAGAGAUACUGUCAGACUUGGAAUUGGGAAGAGUUAGAGGUAUUCUGGGGGGAGCGGUAAAAUGCUAUAAUCCCUGGAGGACCACCAGUGGCGAAAGCGUCUAACUAGAACAACUUCGACGGUGAGGGACGAAAGCCAGGGGAGCAAAACGGAUUAGAUACCCGAGUAGUCC